rnacentral:tRNA from 1 species
AAGAUUUUAAGUUAAUUUAUAAACUAAGAGCCUUCAAAGCUUUAAAUGACCUCCUUCUAGUCAAAUCUUG